AUGCGUUGUUAUGAGUUUUGUGGGUCCGGAUUGUGGUUUUGUGGUGUGAUUGUGUUGUUACAACCGGGAGGGAAGGCUUUUGUGUUGAGUUUUGUGGGUCCGGAUUGUGGUUUUGUGGUCUGGUUGUGUUGUUAUAACUGGGAGGCAAGGCUUUUGUGUUGUGUUGCCAAGUUUUGUAUUUCUGGGGCGUUUAGUUGUUGUGUUAUAGUCAUGAUGUGUUGUUGUGAGUUUUGUGGGUCUGGAUUGUGGUUUUAUGGUCUGGUUGUGUUAUAAACGGGAGGCAAGGCUUUUGCAUUGUGUUGCCAAGUUUUGUCUUUCUGGGAUGUUUAGUUUUGUUGUUAUAGUCACUGUGCAAACAACUUUAUCCUUUUAUAUUUAUAGAUAUAUAUGUGUGUGUGUAUACACACACACACACACACACAUAUAUAUACAUAUAUACAAUAUAAUUUACAAUAAUAUAUAAUAUUAUAAUAUAUUGUAUAUACAUAUAAUAUUAAUAAUAUUAUUUUGUAAUACAAUAUAUUACUAAUAAUACAAUAUAAUAAUAUUAUAUAUUACAUGUAAUAUUAUUAAUACUACAAUAUAUAGAUAUAGUACAAUAUGGUAAUUUAUUUCAGAGUAAUUUGCAGUGCAGCAGUAGUUGGAUGGAAUCAGUGGAAUGCAGAAUGAAGAGACAUCAGAGAUGAUGGUAAAACUAUAUACAAAGUUUUACUGAAAGCAGUAAUAAAGACAAACAGGCUUGCAGACAAUAGACGAACACAGGACUUGACUCAACUCAGAACAGAACAGAACUGAUGCAAUCAGUAAUGCACACACACUUGUGUCUGGACAUUCCCCAGCUCCAGCCACACAUCAUCAUCAUCAUCAUCAUCAUCAUUAUUUAAUUACUUAUUAAUCGCCCUCCAUCCACGAUGCUCUAGGCAAUUUACAAGAUAAAAUUGUAAAGGAUAAAAAUAUAUACAUACAAAUAUUGAUAAAAUUAACAUAGAUUAAAAGCUCUAGUAAAGAGCCCGGUCUUGAGUGCUAGGGUAAAAGGCCCCAACUCACACAUGGCUCUCAUAUAGGGCGGCAAGGCAUUCCAUAAGGCAGGGGCUCUGCGUCUGGUCCUUUCCAAGUGCACUUCUCUAGGACCCGGUACAUAAAGUAAGUCUCGUUGGGAUGGUCGUUGCGACCUCCGAUGAUGGGAGAAGGAGAGACGGUCCCUAAGGUACAAUGGGCCCUGGUCGUAAAGAGUUUUAAAGGUCAGAACUAGCAUCUUAUAUAGACCACAGUAAUCAGUUGGAAGCCAAUGCAGAUGCUGCAGCACUGGUGUUAUAUGGCAUUUCAAGGGUGUUCUUGUGAGUAGCCUGGCUGCCGCAUUCUGAACAAUACGGAGCUUUCGGGUCGUAGACAUCGGAAGGCGAACAUACAGGGCGUUGCAAUAGUCCAGCCUAGAUGUGACCGUGGCAUGGAUGACUGUUGCCAGAGCCUCAUCAGAUAGAUAG
rnacentral:lncRNA from 1 species